rnacentral:rRNA from 1 species
UACGUAGGAGGCGAGCGUUGUCCGGAAUUACUGGGUGUAAAGCGCGUGUAGGCGGUGAGUUAAGUCUGUUGUGAAAGCGCCCGGCUCAACCGGGCAGAGUCAAUGGAAACUAGCGCACUGGAGGUCGGUAGAGGCGAGUGGAAUUCCCGGAGUAGUGGUGAAAUGCGUAGAGAUCGGGAGGAACACCAGUGGCGAAGGCGGCUCGCUGGGCCGGACCUGACGCUGAGACGCGAAGGCGUGGGGAGCGAACGGG